GGCCGGCCGGGCACCCACCCAGCACCCCUUACCGAAGCGGCUGUGGUCCUGCCGGGUGCCGUGCACCGUGCCGUUGGGGAAGAUCUCCAGGUGGAAGCCGGUGCGGCAGUAGAGCUGCCGCCGCCGCAGGAUGCCCUUGAGUAUCUACAGGAAGACUCAGGCGUGAUGAGGUAACUGAAGGAAAUAAACCGUGCCUUGGUGAAAAUGACCGAGGUCCAAGAUGUGGGGGACAGACACAAGGACAGAACACCCCAAAUCCGGAAUUACUAUUAAAGGCAUAAUCCUUACUACUUCCAGGCCCUAGACCCUGUUUGUGCUGGAUACUGCAUUAAGAAGUGCGUAACAAACCAGCACCCUUGACCUGAGGAAUCUCACUGGUCUGUCUUGUGGAAGGAUUUCUAAUGGAAGGCAACAUGAGUGAGGCAACAGAAUUUCAGUCAAUGUAUACAAGUUGAAAAGCUCUGGCUUGCUGAAGUUUUCCCUAUGCUAAGGCUUUCCAACAUCUCUUGCAUGGUUUUGGUGCACCAUUUUUCUUGCCCUUUCUUUGUAUUUUGUAUUUUCACAAUUACUGAAACUGUGUUCAGUAUUGAAGAGAUGGGCAUACCGUGGAUUUAUACAGAGGAAUACUGCCAUUUUCUGCUUUAUUAUCAUUCUUCUAAAAUUUCCUAACAGGGUGGUUUUUUCCAACUGCUGACA